AGCGGACAGAUGGGAGCUUGCUCCCUGAUGUUAGCGGCGGACGGGUGAGUAACACGUGGGUAACCUGCCUGUAAGACUGGGAUAACUCCGGGAAACCGGGGCUAAUACCGGAUGGUUGUUUGAACCGCAUGGUUCAAACAUAAAAGGUGGCUUCGGCUACCACUUACAGAUGGACCCGCGGCGCAUUAGCUAGUUGGUGAGGUAACGGCUCACCAAGGCGACGAUGCGUAGCCGACCUGAGAGGGUGAUCGGCCACACUGGGACUGAGACACGGCCCAGACUCCUACGGGAGGCAGCAGUAGGGAAUCUUCCGCAAUGGACGAAAGUCUGACGGAGCAACGCCGCGUGAGUGAUGAAGGUUUUCGGAUCGUAAAGCUCUGUUGUUAGGGAAGAACAAGUACCGUUCGAAUAGGGCGGUACCUUGACGGUACCUAACCAGAAAGCCACGGCUAACUACGUGCCAGCAGCCGCGGUAAUACGUAGGUGGCAAGCGUUGGUCCCGGAAUUUAUUGGGGCGUAAAGGGGCUCGGCAGGCGGUUUUCUUAGUUCUGAUGUGAAAAGCCCCCGGGCUCAACCGGGGGAGGGGUCAUUGGAAAACUGGGGAACUUGAGUGCAGAAGAGGAGAGUGGAAUUUCCACGUGUAGCGGUGAAAUGCGUAGAGAUGUGGAGGAACACCAGUGGCGAAGGCGACUCUCUGGUCUGUAACUGACGCUGAGGAGCGAAAGCGUGGGGAGCGAACAGGAUUAGAUACCCUGGUAGUCCACGCCGUAAACGAUGAGUGCUAAGUGUUAGGGGGUUUCCGCCCCUUAGUGCUGCAGCUAACGCAUUAAGCACUCCGCCUGGGGGAGUACGGUCGCAAGACUGAAAACUCAAAGGAAUUGACGGGGGGCCCGCACAAGCGGUGGAAGCAUGUGGUUUUAAUUCGAAAGCAACGCGAAAGAACCUUUACCAGGGUCUUGGACAUCCUUCUGAACAUUCCUAGAAGAUAGGAACGUCCCCCUUCCGGGGGCCAAAGUGAACAGGUGGUUGCAUGGGUUGUUCUUCAGCUUCGUGGUCCUGAAGAAGGUUGGGGUUAAAUUUCUCGCAAACGAAGCGCUUGAUCUUAGUUGCCAGCAUUCAGUUGGGCACUCUAAGGUGACUGCCGGUGACAAACCGAAGGGGGAAUGGCCCGGUGGAACAAAACCCCGAAAGAAAAGGGUGGGGGGAAAGGAAGGUUACAAUGGACAGAACAAAGGGCAGCGAAACCGCGAGGUUAAGCCAAUCCCACAAAUCUGUUCUCAGUUCGGAUCGCAGUCUGCAACUCGACUGCGUGAAGCUGGAAUCGCUAGUAAUCGCGGAUCAGCAUGCCGCGGUGAAUACGUUCCCGGGCCUUGUACACACCGCCCGUCACACCACGAGAGUUUGUAACACCCGAAGUCGGUGAGGUAACCUUUAGGAUAGCAGCCGCCGAUAGACGGUG
rnacentral:rRNA from 1 species